CCUCCACCUCCCGGAUUCAAGCAAUUCUCCUGCCUCAGCCUCCAGAGUAGCUGGGAUUACAGGCAUGCGCCACCAUAUCUGGCUAAUUCUUCAUUUUCAGUAGACAAGGUUUCUCCAUGUUGGUCAGGCUGGUCUCGAACUCCUGACCUCAGGUGAUCUGCCCGCCUGGGUUUCCCAAAGUGUUGGGAUUCCAGGUGACAGCCACCUGCCCGGCCACAUAAUAUUAUUUUCUAUGUAGAGUGUACAAAAAAUUUAAACCAUAGAAGCAGAGAGUAGAAUGAUGAUUGCCUGGAAUUGGGGGUGGAGGAGAUGUUGGUCCAAAGUAAUGGGUCUUCCUUAUGUCUCUUACCUUAACAUAUAAGCUAUUCUUCUCUGUUUUGAUUCACCAGGGAAUGGAAUUAUAUCCUGAAAAGCAAAACUGAAGGAGUUAUGUAUUUGUUAAAGCAAUGCAGGUUGUAUACUGAAAUUUCAGAGGCUUAGAAAAAUAACAUAUCUUCUGCUCACAUCACCAUCCCCUGUGGUUUUUCUUUCCUUUUUCUUUUUCUUUCUUUCUUUCUGGUUAAGAGGACUUCUUCGUGAUCUUUCAGGAAUCACAUUAUAUUUUAUCUACUAUCUUCCGCAUUCUUUUUCUUCAGUGACUACAUUUAAAAAGAGAUGCAGAGAAGACACAUUUGCUUCUUAUCCACACAUCACUUUCACUCACUAUUAGUCAAUGUGGGUAGAGCUGAGAAUAGCAGUUUCCUGGCAGGACAGCCACUUCUUAGCAAUAUAGAAAUCACUGAAAGAAAAGUAUAAGUCUUUCAUAAAAAGCUAAUGUAUUUUAGGCAAAAUAAGCAUAUGAAUCAUAGUAAAAUGCUUCUGGUAAAAUAAAGAUUCAUUUUGUUGAUUUCUAUUGCGCCAGGUAAUAUUUCA
rnacentral:lncRNA from 1 species